GGAAAAUACGGCGCAAAAACACAUUCCGGCUGGCAUUUUCGCCGGAGAAAUUUGCAGGCUGCACAGGGCGAAUUCGAGGAACUCGAAGCCAUCUUCCAAUUCCUCCUCUGUUAUCUUUUCUUUGGAAAACAAAUUUACUUUGAUGAUAAGGGAAGGUCAGGAAAAAGAAAUUGAAGUUGAUCAGUUACAGUCAUUUCAAUCUUUGAAGCCAAAUUUAAUAUGUUGCUAUCUUUGUGCUUGGAAUCUUGAUUGGUUGCAUGUAUCAAUGCACACAACAUUAUGGAGUAGCUUAAAUUGCAUACAAACCUAAUCACCUCCGUGGAAUCGAGGAGCCACACGUUAUGUGGGGUGUAAAUUUGUUAAAAUCAUUUGGCUCUUCUAUUUUCCCCGUUUAUUUGGUGUAUUCUUUUUGGUUUCGAAGAGUGUUGGAGCCUAGCAGACUGUUGGGAUGAGAUGAUCAAGGUGUUGAAAGGGUCGGACUGCGACGUUGUUGCCAUCCCUUUGUGGGGUGUUUGUAAUUACAGAAACCUUUUUAAGCAAAGCGGAAAUUCCCUGGAGCGCAAUAUUUUGCUGAACAAGAUCUCUUUUCAUGUGGAGGAGUUUUCUGGUGUUGGUGGGGAUGGCCAGGCAUCGUUGAGGAGGGAGAGCCUGAGGAGUCAUGAGAUCUGGGUGCCGCCUGAUAUAUGUUAUUGUUUUUGGAAGUUUUACUUCUGAUGUUAUGUGGAACAAUGUUGAGGAGGUUCGGUGGCACUAGUUAGGCUGUCCAUGACUCUGCUAGAUCUCUCAAUCCUUGCGGGUUGUGAGAGUUGGGUUCAAGUGGCCCAUGGAGGUUCUUGAAACUUUGGCUAUGAUUAGAGAUUUGUUUGUGUUACUUUUUUUAACUUGGGUCUCUUCCCCACACAUGUGGUUGUGGGGAGUCUGAUUGUGCUAAUCUUAUUAAUUUUAUUAGACAUAAAUUUUUAGUUCGGCAGAGUUCUCUGACUUUUGUUGUUGAGGUGGAGUUGUCGAUUGUGUAUGUCCAUGUCGUUUCUUUUGACUGGUAUGUGUGUUCUGCAAAUGAGAUCACUCGUCGUUUUGACUUGUGUCGCCUCGUUGUAAGAUGAUUGGGCGAUUUUUUUGUUUC